rnacentral:misc_RNA from 1 species
AAUUCUCAAUCCUAUUAAACUUUGUUUGAUUGGGAUUGGAUUUGAGGGUUUGUUGGCUUGCAAAAGUUCGACUCCCUUUAAAUGUAUUCGUGGCUUAGUUGGUCCCCAUUAUUUGGUGUGAUAAUAUUAUCUACAUCAUGACAAUGGCAAUGUUAGCUGCUUUCUUAACUGUCCUUCGGACAAUUUGAACC